UUCAAAAACAAAAAAGGAGGAAAUGCUACGCCCACAGCUGUGACACCUGUGUAGCUGUAGCAAAGCAUGCCGAUGCGCUGGGGUCCGGCAGCUGAAGGGUUGAGGUUGGAGCUUCCUGGAGCGUGGCCUCAAGAGGUUCCCCCACAAUCAGCAGUCGCCAUGCAGCCUGAGGAUUCCAGGAGGCCCUGGAGGACAAGAUGGCCUUGGCGACAGUCCUUGUUGGCACUAAUCAUGCUUUUUCUCUGUAUGUCUUAUCUGUGUUGGGGGGCGUUGGUGGACAGCCCCUAGGUGGACCCCUGAGAGUGGAAAUUACCUAGAGCUGCUCCCAUAUACGGGAAGCUAUGAUGAAGUUGGGAAUAGAUGGGUGAAUCAUGAAGGAAAGAAACAACUUUGGAGUGAUUUGCCUUUUAUGGAAAGGCUAGUCAGGACUAGAAAGCCUUGGUGCCUUUAUAGUAAGGAAGAAAGACAGCAGAUCAUAGAAAAUAUGAAGCCAGCCCUAAGGUAUUGGUAUAGAAGGGUAUAUGACAACUGGAAGGAUAAGUGGAUAUAUAGGAGUGAGGAAGAAAUAAAUGAAAUUAUACAAAAAGUAUAUAGAGGGUGAGUUAAACCUUGGCUGGUAAAAAUCUGGUUCCCACAGAUGUGGUCUUUGGCGCAAGACAGAUUUCACAAAAUUCUGAGAUCAUGCCCUUAAGCAACAACCGCAAUGAACUCCAAGCUGCGGAAGUGAUACACAGAAAUAGAUACUGAUGUACUUUGUUAUUGUCUCUUGCACUACACAGAAAUAGAUACUGAUGUACUUUGUUAUUGUUUCUUGCUGAUUCUGAGUAAUUGUAAAAGUUAAAAGUCUGAUGUAACCCCCUGCCAAGUUCCUUGAUUGUAAAAGAAUAUAAGCACUGAUUUUGCAGAAGUAAAUCUGCAGCAGCACAACAA